CCAAAAAUCCGCCAUUUUACCACCACUUUGGUGGCGCGUUAAUUAGAAUCAUUUCGGUGCAUAAGGUCCAUUGCAUAACCUACAUUCCUUGGCAUCACGUGAUGAAUCAUGGCAGAAUUAGGGAAGGCAAACAACGGUGCAACGAACAAACGAUUGAGGAGCACUCCGACUAGAAGGACUCCUGUAAAUAGGCCUAAAAGACGUCCUGCUGUCUCUGCUGCUGCCAUCAAAGGUAUUCAAUUAGUAUAGCGGCGUGGUGAACAGAAGGAGAAGGUUUUCAAGUUGAGGCUGUUUCUCGGGACCAUCAUUCAUUGCGUAGCACCAGUCCACUAUUCCUAACUUUUAAUUUUGUGGCAUUCUAUUUGGUUUGUGAUAACAUCAGCCCACUUUUCCACCUAGUUCCACCUGUGUGUUACUACUUCAUGUACAAUUACAGCUGGCUCUAAUUAACUCACCUCUAUGUGGUGAAGAGGCUGCUUUCUGAACGAUUUCAAGUUGAAUCUGUUUUUCAGUCAUUCAAUAGUAAGUCAUAACUUUUUGUUUUGAACUUUUAACUCUACAUGGCAAUGAUGGCCAUAUUUACAAAGUCACUGUUAAUUUACAUUUGACUGUAAUUAUUAUAAUUUUGCCACGUAAUUUUUGAGCUGGUUUUCUGGUAACGUACAUGUUUGUGAAUGUAUGCUUGUUUGUAUGUGUAUUUAUGUAGUACAUUCCCGCAUACCUUAUUUAGCACAA